AACAACCUAUUCAAGAGAACGUUCAUGAUGCUUAUGAGAUAUCCAACACAUCAUCGUCAUCAAACAUAUUUGAAUCCGCUCGUGACAUGGUUGUCUUAACAUCUUCACUUUCAUCUACAAUUCAUAUGCAAUACUAAUUAGUUAAAUAUUAAAAAUAACUAGAUUUUAAAAAUUAAUAAUACUUAAAUUCACAUAAAAAAAUAUUAUUACCAGUUCGAGUUCGGGAAAACCUGUGCAGCCAAUUUCAAGUAGUAACAAGUGUUUGGACAUUUUCAUAAUAAAUGCAACUUCUGUACUUUGUAAGAACCCGCCA
rnacentral:lncRNA from 1 species